AGCACACAUGUGUUUUUCUUUGAAACAAACUUGCUUUGGCGGUGGGCCCAGCCUGCCGCCAGAGGUCUAAACUUACAACCAAUUUUUUAUCAACUUGUCACACCAGAUUAUUACUUAAUAGUCAAAACUUUCAACAACGGAUCUCUUGGUUCUCGCAUCGAUGAAGAACGCAGCGAAAUGCGAUACGUAAUAUGAAUUGCAGAUAUUCGUGAAUCAUCGAAUCUUUGAACGCACAUUGCGCCCUCUGGUAUUCCGGAGGGCAUGCCUGUUUGAGCGUCGUUUCUCCCUCAAACCGCUGGGUUUGGUGUUGAGCAAUACGACUUGGGUUUGCUUGAAAGACGGUAGUGGUAAGGCGGGAUCGCUUUGACAAUGGCUUAGGUCUAACCAAAAACAUUGCUUGCGGCGGUAACGUCCACCACGUAUAUCUUCAAACUUUGACCUCAAAUCAGGUAGGACUACCCGCUGAACUUAAGCAUAUCAAUAAGCGGAGGAAAAAGAUCAUUACUGAUUUGCUUAAUUGCACACAUGUGU
rnacentral:rRNA from 1 species